rnacentral:rRNA from 1 species
AUUGAACGCUGGCGGAAUGCUUUACACAUGCAAGUCGAACGGCAGCACGGACUUCGGUCUGGUGGCGAGUGGCGAGCGGGUGAGUAAUGUAUCGGAACGUGCCCAGUCGUGGGGGAUAACGUAGUGAAAAUUACGCUAAUACUGCAAACGAUCUAUGGAUGAAAGCGGGGGAUCGCAAGACCUCGCGCGAUUGGAGCGGCCGAUAUCAGAUUAGGUAGUUGGUGGGGUAAAGGCGCACCAAGCCAACGAUCUGUAGCUGGGCUGAGACGACGAGCGGCCACACUGGAACUGAGACACGGUCCAGACUCCUACGGGAGGCAGCAGUGGGGAAUUUUGGACAAUGGGCGAAAGCCUGAUCCAGCCAUUCCGCGUGAAGGAUGAAGGCCCUCGGGUUGUAAACUGCUUUUGUACAGAACGAAAAAGUUUCUACUAAUACUAGGAGCUCAUGACGGUACUGUAAGAAUAAGCACCGGCUAACUACGUGCCAGCCGCCGCCGUAA